rnacentral:rRNA from 1 species
CAAAUUGAGAGUUUGAUCCUGGCUCAGGACGAACGCUGGCGGCGUGCCUAAUACAUGCAAGUCGAGCGAGCUGAAUUCACAGAUCUCUUCGGAGUGACGUGUUGGACGCUAGCGGCGGAUGGGUGAGUAACACGUGGGCAAUCUGCCCUAAAGACUGGGAUACCACUUGGAAACAGGUGCUAAUACCGGAUAACAAUGACUGCUGCAUGGCGGUUAUUUGAAAGGCGGCGCAAGCUGUCACUUUAGGAUGAGCCCGCGGUGCAUUAGCUAGUUGGUGAGGUAACGGCUCACCAAGGCCAUGAUGCAUAGCCGAGUUGAGAGACUGAUCGGCCACAUUGGGACUGAGACACGGCCCAAACUCCUACGGGAGGCAGCAGUAGGGAAUCUUCCACAAUGGACGCAAGUCUGAUGGAGCAACGCCGCGUGAGUGAAGAAGGUUUUCGGAUCGUAAAGCUCUGUUGUUGGUGAAGAAGGAUGUGAGUAGUAACUGGCUCAUAUUUGACGGUAAUCAACCAGAAAGUCACGGCUAACUACGUGCCAGCAGCCGCGGUAAUACGUAGGUGGCAAGCGUUGUCCGGAUUUAUUGGGCGUAAAGCGAGCGCAGGCGGAAUG